AUUGAACGCUGGCGGCGUGCCUAACACAUGCAAGUCGAGCGGUAACAGGCGUAGCAAUACGUGCUGACGAGCGGCGAACGGGUGAGCAAUGCUUCGGAAUCUGCCCAAUGAUGGGGAAUAACCAGUCGAAAGAUUGGCUAAUACCGCAUAAGCCCUUCGGGGAAGGACGGGGUCGGCAAGACCUCGCGUCGAUGGAUGAGCCGAA
rnacentral:rRNA from 1 species